UCUCCUCCCCGUCUGCAGCUCUCAGCUUUUUCUUCUGAAUGCCUCGAUUUGUGCUUGGAGUGAGGGCUCCAGUGCAGGCUGCAUGAGUAUUUGCUCUUUGGAGUCUCUGUGAGAUGGACCUGGGAGGGACAUUCCAGUUUUACAGGCGCAGAAAAGAUGCCUUUGACUUUUACAACUCCCAAAGGGCAGGAGAAAAAAAAAUGCAGUCAGAGGAGCCUAAGCCCUGAAUUGUGGACAGACUGUGUGCAGACUGAUUAUUAGAAACCCACGUGUGGCUGCUAUGUUUGGAAUUGCGUUUUAGCUGAGUGCCCUGGACUGUCACAUCCCUCAGUGAUUUCACAGAUGUGCCCACCAUGGAAGAAUGGCUGAAUGACAUGAUUGGAAUGGAACGUAGCGGUCAUCUUAUCUGACCACACAAAUACCUGCCAGGAGAGGAGUGCCUCACUUCCUCGUGAUCGUUUUGAAGGCUUUCUGAGAAGGUGAUAAUAUUGUCCAGUGACCUCACAAUCACAAGGUGUACUGUGGUGACUGCAAACCCAGUGUGUCUCAUUCAGCGGGGUCACAGAAGAAGGAAAAAGAAAGAUGAGGAAGGAAAUGGGAACUGGUAGACCUGGGACCAAGGACUCUGACAGUUAAAUGCUGUGAGAUGGGAGCAGGGAUUUAUGUGCCUGGCAGACACAAAGGGAUAAUACCUACCGGGGAAAGCUGGAAGCAGGUCUCCCUGGGAGCCAGGUCAGAGUUCCUGCUAAAGUGACUUUGGCCUGUAUACCUCUGGUGGCCUUGAACUACCACAGCAUACUUCCAUACACAGAUUCUGUUUGUCCAGAGCAGCCCUGACUCUUGCCCAAGAAUAACACCUGGGUUCUUGGGCUCCACCCCUCUUCUGCCUUCUCUUCCUCCAUCUUUCCAGAGCCUGGCCUGCCUGGUGUGACUUCCUGGGUAGCUUCGGAGCCUGCACGUGUAGACAUCUCCCUGGAAUCUCCUGGGCAAUGUUGACCAUCUCCACCUCUGCGCCCUGUCCAUCUCUUCACUCCAGUGUGUGCACACGAUCCCAGCCAACUGCCAGAAGAUAGCCAUCUAUAAUCCAGGACCAGAAACCAACCAUGCUGGCACCUUGCUCUUGGAAUUCCUAGCCUCCAAAACUGUGAGAGGCUCUGCAAGCCCCUACGGUCCUGAAGAUGCUGGAAACUGGACUGGAUAUCACUUGACCUCAGAGUGACCCCUGGAAAUUACAUUUCUGAAAUAAAUCCUGCCGACCAAGGAGCCAAGGGCACGGACACAAAACCUCGUGGAUGACAGAUUAUAAUGGGCUGGCCUCCAGAACCUCCUGCAGGAACGUGUAAACAUGUGCAUAGACGAUGAUAUUUGAUUCAGUUCCUAGAGGAGAUGGAUUAGCUGGGGUGGGUCCUAAAGUGUCAUUCUUGGCGACCCGCCACGGGCUUCCCGUCAGUGUGGAAAGAGCCUGGUGUGAGCACAGAAGGACCCCACCAUGGAGCCAUGGUCCCUUCUCACCAGCCUCCCAUGGCAGAGAUUUCACAAAGGCUUCAGUGGAAGUUACUGCUCCUAUAAAUGAGCAAGUCACCCCAAAGUUAGCUGAACUUGUAGGAGGAUGUGCCAUCCCAUUGUGGCAUCUUUCCUGUGAGUGACCCAUGAAAUGCACUGUGACUUAGGGAGGAUCACUUAGAGGGCUCCGCCUUAAUAGCUGCCUGAGUGGACACACACACACACACCCCACAAAAUCUGGCAGGUAGUGUCUGCAGCCUGCUGACCUUCUGAAAUCCAUCAUCUCAGACUCGGGGGCCAUGCAGAAGCUCAUCUUAACAGGAAUCUGUGUUCUACUGGUGGAAGAAGAUGAUUCUCAUGGGGCAUAUGUAUUCCUCCCUAGUGGUCUCAUGAGCAGACAGGGUGAGGGCUUGUCUCCACCUCACAUGAGGAUUCAUGUUUUCGCUAAAGGGGAAAACAUCAGAGGCAUCUUCCUCUCUCUCGGUCAGCAGCUGCUCAAGGAGACCCCGGCUUUUCCCCGAUGCAGAGCAGUCUUCUCUCCAUGCAGACCUGGUAGCAGGUGGAAGAAAGAGCUCACAGGAGGCUGAAGGGAGGAAGGAGUUGGCUCUCUUAGCAAAUAUCCUAGAUGGUACCCACGUGCUGAGAGGACAGAGAAUUGAGUGCUGGGCUGAGAGCCCUGACAGAGGUCCCAGGACGGGCUGCUCCCUCCUUUUACCUGCACUGUGAAGCUGACCUGAAGGCCACACAUGACUUGUGAAAGUAUUUGGUAACUAAAAUCAUACCAUUUGCAGCAACAUGGAUGACCCAGAAACGAUCAGACUAAGUGA